GACUCUCGGCAACGGAUAUCUCGGCUCUCGCAUCGAUGAAGAACGUAGCGAAAUGCCCUCCUUGGUGUGAAUUGCAGAAUCCCGUGAACCAUCGAGUCUUUGAACGCAAGUUGCGCCCGAAGCCUUCGGGCCGAGGGCACGCCUGCCUGGGCGUCA
rnacentral:rRNA from 1 species